rnacentral:rRNA from 1 species
UACGAAGGGGGCUAGCGUUGUUCGGAUUUACUGGGCGUAAAGCGCACGUAGGCGGAUCGUUAAGUCAGGGGUGAAAUCCUGGAGCUCAACUCCAGAACUGCCUUGAUACUGGCGAUCUUGAGUCCGGAAGAGGUGAGUGGAACUCCUAGUGUAGAGGUGGAAUUCGUAGAUAUUAGGAAGAACACCAGUGGCGAAGGCGGCUCACUGGUCCGGUACUGACGCUGAGGUGCGAAAGCGUGGGGAGCAAACAGG